UCGCAGUGUGCAGGCCAGGCCAGGCCAGGCCACGCCUGUCUGGACCUGUCACAGACACUUGUUGAUUAAUAGGCGAGAGAAGUCAGUCUCUCUCCAGCACCCGGUUCAGGUGGCUGACCUUCCCAUUUUUCCCAUUUCCUCGUGCUUUGUCUCCGACUCUGUUCCCCCGAUCUGCGCCAAAUUAAUUCGUGGAUUCGGUGUAAGAGGCAUUCCAUGAAAUACCUUUUGACUCAAUUAAGAGACUGCUAAAACCAUUUGUCAUUGAGUUCGCUGAAAAUGAUCCAUGCGAUUUUCACAGAAAUGAGACGUUGAAAUAAAUGCGUGUUUCAAAAUUCCCAGGAAAAUUUAUUAUAUAUACGGGGAGAGGUCGAAAGUCUAUUAAAAAUGAUUUAAGAACAGAUAGUUGUUAAAAUAUAUACAUUUUUUUUAUUAUGAUUGAUUUUUCAUGCAUCAUAUACAUUCAAAAACUAAAAAGCUGGCGAUCGGUUGUUGUGAAAAUUCAAUUAGACUAAAAAUAACUGCAAGAAUUUUAAGCAAUAUAUAUUUUUUUAAUAUUUAUUUCAGAGUUCGCUGGGUGCUUUUCGGACCGCAAUACCAUUCAAUACCAUGGCUCUUGGCGAUUCUCUGUGGGUUUUUUAUCAAACCGAAAGUGGGAUCAACUUAUCCUCUUAAAAGACUCCUUAUCACUGAUUCUCUAAGAGCCUUCCUGUGUCUAUGCCUACCGGUUCUUUUCUUUGGUUUUCUUGAUUUGUUUGGUUUCUUACGUUUAUCAUUCUUGAUCGAUUCUUCGAGUUGAGUUUUAUUUAGGAGUUUCGUAAAUGAAUUGUGUUCUGGCUGCCAGAUCCAAGAGGGGUCUAGCCCUUUCUUAUUUGUGUUUUUUUUUCCUUUCUUGCGAUUUUCGGGAAAACCUUUCACCCUGAGUUGCUCUGGCGUUAGGAGUUUCGUAUAGGACUUGUGUUCUGGCUGCCAAAUCCAAGAGGGG
rnacentral:sRNA from 1 species